rnacentral:rRNA from 1 species
UUGGAGGGCAAGUCUGGUGCCAGCAGCCGCGGUAAUUCCAGCUCCAAUAGCGUAUAUUAAAGUUGUUGUGGUUAAAAAAGCUCGUAGUUGAACCUUGGGCCUGGCUGGCCGGUCCGCCUCACCGCGUGUACUGGUCCGGCCGGGCCUUUCCCUCUGUGGAACCCCAUGCCCUUCACUGGGUGUGGCGGGGAAACAGGACUUUUACUUUGAAAAAAUUAGAGUGCUCCAGGCAGGCCUAUGCUCGAAUACAUUAGCAUGGAAUAAUAGAAUAGGACGUGUUGG